rnacentral:rRNA from 1 species
AAAACUCUGUUGUAAGGGAAGAACAAGUACAGUAGUAACUGGCUGUACCUUGACGGUACCUUAUUAGAAAGCCACGGCUAACUACGUGCCAGCAGCCGCGGUAAUACGUAGGAUGGCAAGCGUUGUCCGGAAUUAUGUGAGGGGACCGUAAAGCGCGCGUCAGGUGCGUUUCUUAAGUCUGAUGUCAAACGAAAGCCCACGGCUCAACCGUGGAGGGUCAUUGGAAACUGGGAGACUUGAGUGCAGAAGAGGAUAGUGGAAUUCCUAAGUGAACUAGCGGUGAAAUGCGUAGAGAUUUGGAGGAAGACCAGUGGGGCAGAGUUGGCUGUAUUUGCGGCAGUUGAUAGUGCGUUGCGAAUGCGGUUCAGAUGGAAACGGGUGGAGAAGCCUUGAUAGUCCUAUCCGUAAACGUUGAGUACUAAGUGUUAGGGGGUUUCCGCCCUUCUUAGUGCUGCAGCUAACGCAUUAAGCACUCCGCGCUGGGGAGUACGGUCGCAAGACUGAAACUCAAAGGAAUUGACGCGGGCCCGCACAAGCGGUGGAGCAUGUGGUUUAAUUCGAAGCAACGCCGAAGAACCUUACCAGGUCUUGACAUCCCGUUGACCACUGUGGAGAUAUGGUUUCUCCUUCGGGGGCGACGGUCACAGGCCGCUGCAGGGUUGUCUUCAGCUCAGGCCGGGUGAUGAAAGAGUAAGUCUUGCUCCGAGCGCAAGCCGUGAUCUUAGUUGCAUUCAUUCCGUGGGGGACUCUAAGGUGACUGGCGGCUACCGACGGGAAGGAGGGGGG